rnacentral:tRNA from 1 species
GGGCCCGUGGCGAAAUCGGCAGACGCAGCGGACUUAAAAUCCGCGGCCGCAAGGCAUGCGGGUUCAAGUCCCGCCGGGCCCA